GCUGUUGUUUCUGGCAGCUCUGUUAUCUCGGCACUGGGAGGGGCUUUCUGACUCUCUCAGCAAACAGGCAGGUUGGUCUCAGCAUGAACCUCACAUAUCUCAUCCUCACUGUCUGCCUGGGCCACCUACUGGGCACCAUGGGGCAGAUCAUUGUCACCCAGGAAGAUGGACAAGUCCUGGUGAAGGAGAAAGGCUUCUUCCAGACCACCUGUACAUACCAGACCAGUACCUUUGCUGGAUUGUGGUGGUACCAGCAGAGGAAAGGACAAGCCCCACAGCUGCUCUCCUCCCAGGCAGGGGCUGGCCAGAGGCAGAGCGGCCGUAUCAGCACGUUGCUGAACACCACGGGCAAAUACAGUGUCCUGCAGGUGGAGGCAGUGGAGGUCUCUGACAGUGCCUUGUACCUGUGUGCUGUGCGAGACACCCUGGUGCAGGGAGCUUCCUGGGCUGUGCAACAAGCCAGGGAGGGAGGGAAGGGACCCUCCACCGUCCCCUGGCAGCACUGCUUCCUCUGUACCCCCAGAAAUCUGCGGGCUCAGACCCUCUUCCAGGACAGGAGAGU